rnacentral:lncRNA from 1 species
GGCAGAUGGGCCAGAGAGGGUCCGUCGGGCAAAUGGGAAGGGGUCUUUGUUUGAAAAGAACCUGUUUUAGUAUAGCCUUCGUCAGGACUUAGAAGCUGGUCGUCUCCGAUCAUUGUGAAAUCCGGUUUGGAAUCGCGGUGCUGCAACGCUGCACUUGAUCUGUUCUGAAGUCCCAAGACAAGGGAACUCGAUUAAGGCAAGAAGCUGCAGGUGCCCCAAUAAACGGUGCUUGGACCACGACCGGUUUGAACAGCCGUCCCAGUGUUCAAGCCAUCGUCGACGCAAGUGCACUCUUCGGAAUCUGGCCUUAUCGUGGAGUCUACCGCUCAGGAAUUUUGACUUUAGUCAUCCUUGAUUGCGAUGUGUAUUUACGAGGCAAUAAAGCUACGUUUAACCUG